rnacentral:rRNA from 1 species
GACGAACCUUGCUAACGUUAUUCGGAAUUACUGGGCGUAAAGGGCGCGUAGGCGGCGCGACAAGUCACUUGUGAAAUCUCUGGGCUCAACCCAGAACGGUCAAGUGAUACUGUCAUGCUAGAGUGCGGAAGGGGCAACUGGAAUUCUUGGUGUAGCGGUGAAAUGCGUAGAUAUCAAGAGGAACACCUGCGGCGAAGGCGGGUUGCUGGGCCGACACUGACGCUGAGGCGCGAAAGCUAGGGGAGCGAACGGG